AGGCAGAACAGCGACGGUAAUACACAACCUCGUCAUGUAUGACCACGUGACUAAACAAUAUCGCGUAUAUGUAUAAACGCGAUAGCCCCUCGAGCUUUUCCUACAGUCGACUGAAAGUGUGAAGAUGGAGUCAGUUUUCACCUUCUGCUUCCUUGUUGUUCUCGCCUUGGUCAGCCUUGGAUUUAGUCCAGUUUGGGCGGCAUCAGAGCCUGAGAACUCCGCCGCUACCCAAGGCUCCUCCGUCCUUUUCGGGUCCUUGGCGCUUGUGCUGGGCUAUGUCCUGUCGAAGUAGCCAGUGUCCGCCAUGAUGUCAUCUGUCCAGGAUCUGUAGAUGGACACAACGCAGGGGCAACAAAACCUUAAUCCUGACUGUAGCCAUGUUGUACGUCAUGAAGUGACACCCAUCCUUUUAUGACGUGUAUUCUUCGAGCCUGUAGCCACGGUGUACGUCAUGAAGUGACACCCAUCAUUUGAUCACGUGUAUUCUUCGAACCUGUAGUGACAGAAUUGUAACGUUAUGUCCACUUACAGAUCCAUGCAUCAGUUGCCCGCAUGAAUAUCACGAAUAAAUCUGAUAUCUGACAAAUA